rnacentral:rRNA from 1 species
AUGGCCGCUCAGGCUCCCCCUGCAGCUGCAGCUGCUCCUCUAGACUUGUCCCUCACGCUGUCCCCCAUGUAUAAUUUGGCUGUUCUUCCUAGCGGCGGCGGCCGUCGCAGAGGGGGCGCAAGAUCGUGGCUCUUCUCUUGCCUCUUCUGUGAGAGGAAGUUCCUCAAGUCGCAGGCCCUAGGGGGUCACCAGAACGCUCACCGGAAGGAGAGAGUCGUCGGCACCUGGAACACCCACCUCUACCUCUCUGACCAUCGUCACGCCGCAGCGUCUUGA